UACAGAGGUCUCAAGCGUUGUUCGGAUUCAUUGGGCGUAAAGGGUGUGUAGGUGGCGCCGUAAGUCAGGUGUGAAAUUUCGGAGCUUAACUCCGAAACUACAUUCGAUACUGCGGUGCUUGAGGACUGGAGAGGAGACUGGAAUUCCUGGUGUAGCGGUGAAAUGCGCAGAUAUCAGGAAGAACACCCGUGGCGAAAGCGGCUCUCUGGGACGGUACUGACGCUGAGACGCGAAAGCGUGGGGAGCGAACAGG
rnacentral:rRNA from 1 species